AGAGUUUGAUCCUGGCUCAGGAUGAACGCUAGCGGCAGGCUUAACACAUGCAAGUCGAGGGGCAGCGGGGAGGAAGCUUGCUUUCUCCGCCGGCGACCGGCGCACGGGUGAGUAACACGUAUGCAACCUGCCCCUGUCAGGGGGACAACCCGCCGAAAGGCGGGCUAAACCCGCGUACAUGCCACCGGGGCAUCCCGGAGGCAGGAAAGGCUUCGGCCGGACAGGGAUGGGCAUGCGGCGCAUUAGGCAGUAGGCGGGGUAACGGCCCACCUAACCGACGAUGCGUAGGGGUUCUGAGAGGAAGGUCCCCCACACUGGUACUGAGACACGGACCAGACUCCUACGGGAGGCAGCAGUGAGGAAUAUUGGUCAAUGGUCGGGAGACUGAACCAGCCAAGCCGCGUGAGGGAGGAAGGUACAGAGUAUCGUAAACCUCUUUUGUCAGGGAACAAAGGCGGGGACGUGUCCCCGGAUGAGUGUACCUGAAGAAAAAGCAUCGGCUAACUCCGUGCCAGCAGCCGCGGUAAUACGGAGGAUGCGAGCGUUAUCCGGAUUUAUUGGGUUUAAAGGGUGCGCAGGCGGUCUGUUAAGUCAGCGGUCAAAGCCCGGGGCUCAACCCCGGCCCGCCGUUGAAACUGGCAGUCUCGAGUUGGAGAGAAGUAUGCGGAAUGCGCGGUGUAGCGGUGAAAUGCAUAGAUAUCGCGCAGAACUCCGAUUGCGAAGGCAGCAUGCCGGCUCCACACUGACGCUGAGGCACGAAAGCGUGGGUAUCGAACAGGAUUAGAUACCCUGGUAGUCCACGCAGUAAACGAUGAAUGCUGGCUGUCCGGGGGGACUGACCCCUGGGUGGCGAAGCGAAAGCGAUAAGCAUUCCACCUGGGGAGUACGCCGGCAACGGUGAAACUCAAAGGAAUUGACGGGGGCCCGCACAAGCGGAGGAACAUGUGGUUUAAUUCGAUGAUACGCGAGGAACCUUACCCGGGCUCAAACGGGGAGUGGCGCAGGCAGAGACGCCUGUUUCCCACGGGACACUCCCCGAGGUGCUGCAUGGUUGUCGUCAGCUCGUGCCGUGAGGUGUCGGCUUAAGUGCCAUAACGAGCGCAACCCCCGCGUGCAGUUGCUAACAGUCAACGCUGAGGACUCUGCACGGACUGCCGGCGCAAGCCGCGAGGAAGGCGGGGAUGACGUCAAAUCAGCACGGCCCUUACGUCCGGGGCGACACACGUGUUACAAUGGGUGGUACAGCGGGAAGCCAGGCGGCGACGCCGAGCGGAACCCGAAAUCCACUCUCAGUUCGGAUCGGAGUCUGCAACCCGACUCCGUGAAGCUGGAUUCGCUAGUAAUCGCGCAUCAGCCAUGGCGCGGUGAAUACGUUCCCGGGCCUUGCACUCAACGCCCGUCA
rnacentral:rRNA from 1 species